GCGUCCGUAGCUCAGUUGGUUAGAGCACCACCUUGACAUGGUGGGGUCGGUGGUUCGAGUCCACUCGGACGCG
rnacentral:tRNA from 1 species